AUGGAAGCCUGGGCUCUGCUCUUCUGGGUCCUGCUACUCUGGAUCGCAGAUACCACUGGACAAAAAUUACUGACUAAGACUCCAGCUUCCCUGGCUGUGUCUCCCAGACAAACUGUCACUUUCAGCUGCAGGGCCAGUCAGGGUGUGAGGGACUACUUAGAAUGGUACCAGCAGAAACGUGAGCAGGUUUCCAGGCUCCUCAUCUAUGCUGCCUCCAGCAGGACCACUGGCAUUCCAGGCCGGUUCAGUGGAAGUGGGUCAGGGACAGACUUCACUCUCACCAUCAGCAGCCUGCAGCCUGAGAAUGUUGCAGUUUAUCACUUUUACCAAUAUUACAGCGGGUGUCCCACAGUGAUUCAGCGUGUGACAAAAACCUCUCUGAUUGUUUGUCAUGAUAUUGCUCAAAGCAGCUUUUUCCUUUAA